rnacentral:rRNA from 1 species
GAUGAACGCUGGCGGCGUGCCUAAUACAUGCAAGUCGAGCGAAUGGAUUAAGAGCUUGCUCUUAUGAAGUUAGCGGCGGACGGGUGAGUAACACGUGGGUAACCUGCCCAUAAGACUGGGAUAACUCUGGGAAACUGGGUCUAAUACCGGAUAGGACCACUGCCUGCAUGGGUGGUGGUGGAAAGCUUUUGCGGUGUGGGAUGGGCCCGCGGCCUGUCGGCUUGUUGGUGGGGUUAUGGCCUACCAAGGCGACGACGGGUAGCCGGCCUGGGAGGGGGACCGGCAACAGUGGGACUGGGAUACGGCCCAGACUCCUACGGGAGGCAGCAGUGGGGAAUAUUGCACAAUGGGCGCAAGCCUGAUGCAGCGACGCCGCGUGAGGGAUGACGGCAUUCGGGUUGUAAAACUCUGUUGUUAGGGAAGAACAAGUGCUAGUUGAAUAAGCUGGCACCUUGACGGUACCUAACCAGAAAGCCACGGCUAACUACGUGCCAGCAGCCGCCGUAA